CACAGAUAGUCAGGCGGGCUGAUGGCAGCUUUGUGAGUAUUCGAUGUCGCCCAUUGUUGUUCUCGAUCGUCGUGCAUAACGGCCUCCACGGAGUGUUAUGACUAUGUUUGAUGUUCUGACUCUUUAUUUCUGUACCUCUCGAAAAGUCGAUGAAUUUCAAGAUGACUAGUGUACACUUUUAGUUCGAAUUCCAAUUGCGUGUGCGUAAUGUCAAGAAGCUGCCGAAUUUUGAAGGAAGUAAUCCCCUAUACUAGCCAGACUAGACGCCCAGCCAGAGUCAAACGGGACCUCAGUUGCCGUUGCUAGUGCGAUUCGAAUGUCGAGUGAUAAAGGUCGACUCUUCACGUCAAACUUCAUUUUUAAGCUCCGUGAGGCUUUCCAACAAAUGUGCCGACUCUUUUUUGAAAGUGUGUGUGUAGCUUUGUGAUUUGUCUCAUAUGAACUUAAAUAUAUACAUAUAAAGACCGGUUUCAGUGAUGCGUCAGUUCGAAAUUCAGCCAAGAAUCUGUAAAACGCGUUUGAAUGCAAUUGAACAAUCACAUUAAUGAGGAAAAAACAGAUCACCCACUGAAAUAAGUGAAGGGUGGUUUUCUUAUCUAUCAACAAGUUGAACAAAGGUUUUAAAGUUUUAUAUUUGAAGCUCCAAUUGAUUAUACCAUGCGGCUUAGCUGUUUUAUCCUGUCAUGAAAAGAAUACGGAUUUCCUGGUGAAAAAUUUAUUCCAACAAAACGGAUUGCUGCUAGUCACGUAAACACUGCAUUCAUGGGUCGGACAAAAGUGAGUGUACCGCAUUACUGUCCCAACUAUAAGACGGAAUUCUCCUGGGUUGAUGAAGAUAACAAUGCACGACUAAAGCUUAUUGCAAUGUGUGUAAAAAAAAGCAUUGACUGAAGUUCCAUUGGUAAGACAGCUUUAACAUGUCAUGCAAAAAGGUAAUAAGCAUAAUUCGUAAUUGAAAUUACAAAAGGAAAGCUUAAAAGUCGACCGUUUCCUCACACAAAAUUCGACUACAGAAACAACAGCAGUAGUAUCUGCUUCUGCUCAAAAAGAACCAAGCGAAGGUCUCAAUAAUUCUUCAAAGGACUCUGGUAGCAUGCUAAAGAAUUUUUUGACUACUGAUCAAGUCACGAGAGCUGAAAUCUUGUGGUGUCUCACUACAGUGUCAAAGUAUUUUAGUAAUCGCGGUGCUGCCGAAGCUGUGACUAUGUUCGCCGACAUGUAUCCGGAUAGCGAAAUAGCCUCCAAAAUAAAGCUACAAAAAGAUAAAAUGGGAUAUACCAUUACCAGUUUCAAAAAGAUUUACAAGAAUUGUUAGCAACAUCCGGACAUAUAGUUGUGGGCUUCGAUGAAAGCCUGAAUAAAAUUUCUCAGACAUAACAGAUGGAUUUAAUUGUGCGUGUUUGGAAUAGCGUUUCGAUUGAAUUCACAACUAGGUACUUUUCUUCGGUAUUCCUCGACAGCACGGUUGCAGUUAAAUUGAAGGAAGGAUUAAUGGAUGCAAUUGGAGACAAGAAUCUAUGUAAACUUGUUCAGAUUUCUAUGGAUGGCCCUGCUGUUAAUUUCCGCAUGCUAAACGAUUUGAAGAAAGAUGUUAGAGAAAAGUAUCCUGAGAAUCCUAUUCUACUAGAUCUGGGCAGCUGUGGUCUUCAUUCUGUACACGGUUAAUUCAAAAUUGGGAUGAAAACGAAAUGGGAAAUUGAUAGUUUUUUGAGUUGCCUAUACCGAUUAUUUAAAAAUAUACCUUCGCGGCGAGGAAAUUAUACUAAAAUCACGAAGUCUUAUAUAUUUCCACUUAAUUUUUUUGAUAUUAGGUGGGUGGAAAAUAUAGUGGUUUCCUCAAGAGGAGCUCGAUGUUGUCACCUUUGCAAAUCUGGGUUAAGAACGUUGAAGAUCAAAGCAAAAAAAAUUCACUCAAAAAAGAUCAUACGAGUUUUCGAACAGUGUCAGAAAUAGUAAAAGAUCCACUUAGCGAGGCAAAGUUGUCAUUCUUCAAAUCCGUUGCAUCUUUGGUGGAACAGUUUCUAAUCGAAUUCCAAUCUGAUGCUCCGCUGGCACCGUUUUUGUGUCGCGAUCUCACGUACAUGGUACCCAAAAUAAUGGAACGUUUUGUUAAACCAAAAGUCUUAGAAGAGGCUCUAACAGUUGCGCAAGUGGACCUAUCGAAUACAAAGAUUCUGCUGUCAGUUGCUGAUAUAGACGUGGGAUUUGAAACUAAAGGCGCUCUCUUAGCAUCUAAAGUUUCAGCAGAACAAAUAACAAAAUUUAAAACUUAUGCUCGUGAAUACUAUCUCUUGAUGGCGAAAAAACUGAUGGACAAAACCCCUCUAAAGUACCCAUUGACUAAGACUAUUUCUUGCCUCGAUCUUUCUGUGAUGUUACGAGAGCCCAUCAGUUUCUAAGAAGCGUUUCUUGACAUGUCUAGAUAUCUUAUAUAUUAAUAACAAAUGUAUUUCUGGAACAAAGGUGGAUAAAAUAAAGUUAGAGUACAAAGGGCUGUGUAACUUGUCCCAACCGAUGGAUGCCCUAAACAAUGAUGAUCGUAAAAAUUCUCGAUUAGAUCACUUUUGGACAGACGCUAUUUCAGCGUCGGGAAAACCCCAUGAGAACUUAACGGAAUUUGUAAGAAUGAUACUCAUUCUAUUCGAAUAACAGAUGGCUUGCUUAAAUCUGCCCGUAAUGAACAUUGCGUUUAUGUUCUUCGAAGAACGCUAAACUGGCUGAAAAUAAAAAAAAAAAAGGGGAAAAAUAAGCAAAGAAGAGAAAAGCAGAAAAGGCCAAAGAGCUCCAAAACCAAAAAAUAAAAUUUCUGAAAGUAGCUGCAGAAAAGGCAGAAGAUUUACAAGAAAAAAUCAAUGCUCUAAAAGGGCGCCGUCAUGCAGCAUAAUGCUUAAUUGAGUUUCCAUUAUAUAGUUUGUAUGCACAUGGAAGUAUAUUAUUUAUACUUAUAUUUUAUUUUUUGAUUCUUCAGAUUUUAAUAGCAUUUAAGCAACUACUU